AUCGUCAACGCGAGAGCAGCACUCAGUUCACGGCCUUUGCAAUGGCUUACUCGUGGAGCCAAAGAAGUCAUGGCUUCUUCGAGACGAUACACGCGUGGAGCCGAAGAAGUCAUGACUUCAUUGAGAAGAUAUACGCGUGGAGCCAAAGAAUUCACGGCUUCGUUGAGAGAGCUUACGCAUGGAGUGAAAGUAAUAACCGUGUUGUUACGAUAUAUAUGUGCAGGGCACGACUUCAUAACCUCAUUCUGACAACGUAUAGCUGGAGUGGGAGAGUUCACGGCGUCAUUACUACUAUACACAUUUGGGGCAGAAGAAUUCACAACCUCACUGCGAUGGCUUACAUGUGGAAUGCAAGGAUCAACAGAUUUAUUGCAAUGGCUCAACCCGAUUAUUUUUAAGCAUUAUAAAUAAAAAAUGCAUGAAAAAAAAUGGUGUGUCUAAUUUUUUUAAACAAAAUUCCCCUUAAGACAUGGAGCUCAAUGCGAGAUAGUGUUCAUUAUGACAAGGUGCUCACUGGGACACAGAGCUCAGAGCAUGGAGCUUACAGCAGCAGGACGCUCACAGAGGCAUGGAGCUCACAAGGCACAGAGCUCGCUGCAACAGAUUCUUCUCAAGAAUUUCCUGGUACAGGGCUCAAUUCAUUUUACCUUCAAUAUUUUGAAUUCUGCUGGUAGCAUGAGAAGAGAAACAGCCCAAUACCGUGAUGCUUCCACCUCCGAACUUCAUUUUUAGAGUCGUAUGCAGAGAAAACAAUAGAGCAUUGAACAGUUUGAUCUUUGUCUCGUCUGACCUCAUUACAUUCUCCCAGUAACCUACAGGCUUCUCCAAAUGUUUUGUAGCAAGCUUGAAACGAGCUUCAACAUGCCUUUUCUACAGUAAUGGAAUCAAGGCGUUAUGGUGAAUGGAGACUGUAGCAGUAUUGCGCACUGCAUAUUGCUUUCUCUGACGACUGUACUCGCUGCUUCCAGUUCUUUCUGGAGAGCUUUUCGAGUGGUCCUCGGCUCUUGGGCUUCUCCUCGGCGUAACUUUCUGUCAGCCCUGUCAGAAAUCUUGCGAGGAGCUCCUGCGUGUGGCCGGUUGAUAGUCGCCUAAUGGUGCUUAAAGGAACAUUUGGGAGUAAUUCUUUGGAGAGCGCUUUGCUUCUACUCAUCAUGAGAUGUUUCUUGCGCGACAGUUUGGUGACAAAUGAUUUGUUUACUUGUAUUCAGAGGUGGGUUCCCCUUUUCCACAGAGUGGAUGUACUAACCUACCAUCAUGCACUAACCCAGCUGAUUCUAAUUAGCACAGACUUGUCCAGCGCUAGAAGAACCAGAGAGCUGCUUCACAGAAGAAAGAAGAAGAAGAAGCAGAAGGAGGAAAUGAGGUGCGUAUGAAAAAACUGGUUUACGUGAUGAAUCAUUCCAUUUACACUUGAAUAAUGUCUCCAAGCUGCAGUUAGCGUUAGCCUGGCAGGUAUAUAUUAUUAGAAUAUAUUACUGAAACAGUGUUAACUUGAAUAACGAAGGCUGCGGUUCACUCUACAGGUAAUUAUUUAAAGACUACACCAUGUUGUUCUAUGCGUUUUGUUCACAGAGAGCUUUUUAGUGAAGCCGUGAGCUGCUGAAUGAUUUCUGAGUUUUUAAUUUAAUCUCUGAUCCAGAAUCCUAAAUUGUGGUGGUCUCCUUUACCUACCGUGUAGUGAUUAGAAGACUAUCAUGAUUCAGUGAUCCCGUGUGUGAAGCUGCUCCGUUUUGUACUCUGUAUAGCAAUAAAAAUACACAACCAUUUUAUCAUGAGAUCUGCUGGACAAUUUAAAAAUAAAUAAAUAAAUCAGAACAAAA